rnacentral:rRNA from 1 species
GGAAUCUUCGGCAAUGGACGAAAGUCUGACCGAGCAACGCCGCGUGAGUGAAGAAGGUUUUCGGAUCGUAAAACUCUGUUGUUAGAGAAGAACAAGGGUGAGAGUAACUGUUCACCCCUUGACGGUAUCUAACCAGAAAGCCACGGCUAACUACGUGCAG